rnacentral:lncRNA from 1 species
UAGAAGUCAGGUCGGAUUAAGCCAUAGUACGGAAAAAACUAUGCUACCUGUGAGCCCCGUCCAAGGACGUUAAAAGAAGUCAGGCCAUCAUAAAUGCCAUAGCUUGAGUAAACUAUGCCGCCUGUAGCUCCACCUGAGAAGGUGUAAAAAAUCUGGGAGGCCACAAACCAUGGAAGCUGUACGCAUGG